CGCUCUCAGAGUAAAGAACUUCCCCCUGACACCCAACCUGCAGCUGCCCUCCUUCAGCUUCAAACCAUUUCCCCUUGUGCUGCUGUUAUCUGCCCUUUCACAGAGUUGCCUCCCCUCCCCUCCUGUUUAUGGGCUCCCUUUAGGUCCUGGAAGGCUGCAAUGAGGUCACCCCUCAGCCUUCUUUUCUCCAGGCUGAACAAGCCCAGCUCCCUCAGCCUGUCUUUGUAGCCCUCUGAUCAUCUUUGUGGCCCUCCUCUGCACCCUCUCCACCAGCUCUCUCUCCUUUGUGUACUGGGGGCUCCAGGCCUGCGCACAGUACUCCAGAUGGGGCCUCCGGAGGGCAGAGUAGAGAGGGACAAUCAGCUCCCUGUCCCUGCUGGCCACCCCUUUUCUGCUGGAGCCCAGGAUGCCGUUUGCUUUCCAAGCUGCAAGAGCACACAGCUGGCUCACGUGAAGUUUUUCAUCCUUGAGGACCCCAGGUCCUUCUCUGCAGGGCUGCUCUCCAGGACUGCUCCUCCCAGUCUAGUGAGUGUUUGACAUACGUUUCUCACCUGGGAGCCAACACUGGCUUUGGCAGUUUGAUACGCAACAGUUGCUUCCAUUUCCAUUGGUAAUCCCAACACUGCUGCCCGAACUGCACGCUCAGCUUCCCAGAACCGAGUUGGAUUGACACUGGCUCAAGGAGUCCCAAGGCUCAGAGUGCUCCCACAUCCUACCUAAUUCUCAAGGCACAAAG
ensembl:lncRNA